UAAGGUGAUUAUAGCGAUGGGGCUCACCUCUUACCAUUUCGAACAGAGAAGUUAAGCCCAUUUGCGCCGAUGGUACUACAUUUGUGGGAGAGUAGGUCGUCGCCUUUU
rnacentral:rRNA from 1 species